ACGAACGCUGGCGGCGUGCUUAACACAUGCAAGUCGAACGGAAAGGCCCCUUUGUGGGUACUCGAGUGGCGACCGGGUGAGUAACACGUGAGUAACCUGCCCUUGACUUCGGGAUAACUUCAGGAAACUGGGGCUAAUACCGGAUAGGAAUCCUUGCUGCAUGGUGGGGGUUGGAAAGCUUCGGCGGUUUUGGAUGGACUCGCGGCUUAUCAGCUUGUUGGUGGGGUAGUGGCUUACCAAGGCUUUGACGGGUAGCCGGCCUGAGAGGGCGACCGGCCACAUUGGGACUGAGAUACGGCCCAGACUCCUACGGGAGGCAGCAGUGGGGAAUAUUGCACAAUGGGCGGAAGCCUGAUGCAGCAACGCCGCGUGCGGGAGGACGGCCUUCGGGUUGUAAACCGCUUUCAGCAGGGGCGAAGCUUGUGGUGACGGUACCUGCAGAAGAAGCACCCGCUAACUACGUG
rnacentral:rRNA from 1 species